CGCCGUUCCGAGGGGGGCCCCAAGACAGGGGGCUGAGAUUGGGCCUGAUGCCCUGACCCUUGAACCUGAUCCGGCUCGUACCGGCGGAGGGACGGGAACCUGCGGCCUG
rnacentral:ncRNA from 1 species